CAACCUUCAAGCUCUGCUUGGUAUUGGGCGGUCACCUCUUUUGGUGCGCCUUAAAAUCAGUGGCGGUGCCAUCUGGCUUCAAGCGUAGUAAAUUCUCUCGCUCUGGAGGACUAGGUGUGGACUUGCCCAACAACCCCACAUUUUUCAAA
rnacentral:misc_RNA from 1 species